rnacentral:misc_RNA from 1 species
UAUUUAUUUAUUCGUCAAAUUAUAAAUUUAUACGUAAUGCCCAUAUACUUUCAACGCGAAGCAAUUGUUGCGUCCAUGAUUGCGGACUGUUUCGGUUUUUCGUCUUGGAUACAACGGCAGUUCAGCUUCAGUAUGGCUUCAGCGACAGAAGAGGCGACAUCAGGAGCGACAUGAGGAGCGACAUCAGUAGCAACGCAGUUUCCUCAGAGCGACGAUGGAGAGAGGGAACGGUCGCAGUUCCUCCAACGUCAUUGACCGGACUCCCCCUGUUCAUCAGGGGGAGUCCACCGUCCCCUGGGACUGCGCG